CCUACGGGCGGCAGCAGUGGGGAAUAUUGCACAAUGGGCGAAAGCCUGAUGCAGCAACGCCGCGUGAAGGAAGAAGGGUUUCGGCUCGUAAACGUCUAUCAAAAGGGACGAAAGAAAUGACGGUACAUGAAAAAGAAGCCACGGCUAACGACGUGCCAGCAGCCGCGGUAAUACGUAGGGGGCAAGCGUUAUCCGGAAUGACUGGGUGUAAAGGGUGAGUCGGCGUCAUGGUAAGCCAGAUGGGAAAGCAUUGGGCUUAACCCGCGGAUUGCCUUGGGAACUUUCAAGCUAGAGUACAGGAGCGUCGAGCGCAUUUCCUAUUGUAGCGGUGUCAUGCGUAGAUCUUAGG
rnacentral:rRNA from 1 species